GAUGACCGCUUUCUUCUUUCCUAAUACAUGCAAGUCGAGCGAACAGACGAGGAGCUUGCUCCUCUGACGUUAGCGGCGGACGGGUGAGUAACACGUGGAUAACCUACCUAUAAGACUGGGAUAACUUCGGGAAACCGGAGCUAAUACCGGAUAAUAUAUUGAACCGCAUGGUUCAAUAGCGAAAGACGGUUUUGCUGUCACUUAUAGAUGGAUCCGCGCCGCAUUAGCUAGUUGGUAAGGUAACGGCUUACCAAGGCAACGAUGCGUAGCCGACCUGAGAGGGUGAUCGGCCACACUGGAACUGAGACACGGUCCAGACUCCUACGGGAGGCAGCAGUAGGGAAUCUUCCGCAAUGGGCGAAAGCUUGACGGAGCAACGCCGCGUGAGUGAUGAAGGUCUUCGGAUCGUAAAACUCUGUUAUUAGGGAAGAACAAAUGUGUAAGUAACUAUGCACGUCUUGACGGUACCUAAUCAGAAAGCCACGGCUAACUACGUG
rnacentral:rRNA from 1 species